rnacentral:sRNA from 1 species
UACGGAGAUUGCUGUCGAUGUUUUUAUUGUGGAGGUGGUCUACGGAAUUGGGAACUAGAAGAUGACGUCUGGGUGGAACACGCUCGAUGCUUCCCAAAGUGUGGCUACAUGAGACAGAAAGCUGGAGAUACUUUUAUAAGCUGUGUACAAAGAUUAAACCAAACCAAAGAGAAAAUUACACUGGCGGAUGUAAUGAAUGAUAUAGGUGAAUCGAAUCUGAUCUUUCACAGAGAUGUCAUGUUCAAGAGUGAUCCGUCCGUUCUUUCGAUUGUUGAACAAGGCUUCAAUAAAGAAAUGGUUUUAGAUGUGGCCAAAGAAUUGUAUGAAA